rnacentral:rRNA from 1 species
UACAGAGACCUCAAGCGUUAUCCGGAGUUAUUGGGCGUAAAGGGUCCGCAGGCGGCCUCAUAAGUCAUGUGUCAAAUUUCUGGGCUCAACCCAGAAACUGCGUGUGAUACUGUGAGGCUAGAGGCUGGGAAAGGCACAUGGAAUUACUGGUGUAGCGGUAAAAUGCGUUAAUAUCAGUAAGAACACCAAAGGCGAAGGCAGUGUGCUGGAACAGUCCUGACGCUCAGGGACGAAAGCGUGGGUAGCGAAUGGG